CCCUCUCAUACUUUGCUGAAGCAGAAGCUCUGCUAGGGCAAGACCAGGUUUCCCUCAAAGUGAAUCGAACCACUUCCUACUCCUAAAAAAGUUGCUCCUAUCCUCUCACUGUGUGCUUCAUUUCCCUUAAGCUUAGUUUUACUCAAGAUGGGGGAAAUGUUGAAGGUAGACCUGGUGGUGGCAACGGUGCUGUGUAAUUUGAACCUGUUAUAUGUGGCUCUCAGGAAUAGUUUAUGGCCUAGUGCCUUUUUGUAAUUCCUUACUCUAGGAGCAACUCUUUUGCAAAACUGUUAAAUUCCCUAGUUUAUGUUUGCUUAUGGCAUGGUGGUAUGCCUAAGUUCCUUUCUAAAUACAUUUGAUGAAUGACUGUAAUAGUGGAUCCACUGUUCAU